GGAUAUUUCCUGAAAACAGUGUUACACUGGCUUUUAACCAUUGGGUCGAAGGUUCGAGUCCUUCUCGGAUCACCA
rnacentral:tRNA from 1 species